rnacentral:rRNA from 1 species
AUUGAACGCUGGCGGCAGGCUUAACACAUGCAAGUCGAGCGAGCGGCGGACGUGUGAGUAAUGUCUGGGAAACUGCCUGAUGGAGGGGGAUAACUACUGGAAACUGUAGCUAAUACCGCAUACCAUCAGAUGUGCCCAGAUGGGAUUAGCUAGUAGGUGGGGUAAUGGCUCACCGAGGCGACGAUCCCUAGCUGGGCUGAGAGGAUGACCAGCCACACUGGAACUGGGAAACGGGCAAGACUCCGACGGGAGGCAGCAGUGGGUAAGAUUGCACAAUGGGCGCAAGCCUGAUGCAGCCAGGCCGCGGGUGGGAAGAGGGCUUUCGGGUUGUAAAGCACUUUCAGCGAGGAGGCGUUACUCGCAGAAGAAGCACCGGCUAACUCCGUGCCAGCAGCCGCGGUAAUUC